ACUCAACAAGGUCUAGCUAGGGAGGGUGAGAUCCCGGGCCUUUGACAAGAUUGUAGAGCAACAAUAUUUAUGUGUCUCUUUGUAAGCUCUCAAAACUCAGGCUCUGCCCCGCAGCCGCCUUCUCUCAGAGCUUGGUGGGUCCCUGCGGAUGCCUUGGUGGAACCCUUGAUGGGUGGUUCAGAGCAGAGCUAUCACCCACUGCCCAUGGGAGGCUCCCUCCCCAGAGCCCCUGCAGCUCUCCACCCCCUUGUCCAGCUCACUGUGACAGAGUCGCCUUCACAGUCUGGGGAUGGCUCCAGAUCAAAGUCCUGGAAGGUCAGCCUCACAGCAAACCCCUCUGGAGCCUCGAUGUCAGUGUGGCUCUCCUGGCCUUUGAGAUAUGGCUCUGGGUAUCCAGGGGAUGUCAGUUGCUGUGGUGACUGCUGGGCCAAAAGCACAGAGGCCUGUGUGGGGCAAGUAUGGAGGAUUCCCCAAAGGAGCCACCAGCACCUGUGAGUGAGCAGGGAAGACAAGUCUGCCUCUUGGAGAACUUGAAGUGUGUGACUCAAGAACCCCCGAGUCUUUCUUUCCUCUCCUUCUUGGUCAAGAACCAGUGAGUUCGGGCUGGAGAGAUGGCUCAGCGGUUAAGAGCACUGACUGCUCUUCCGGAGGUCCUGAGUUCAAAUCCCAGCAACCAGAUGGUGGCUCACAACCAUCCUUAAUGAAAUCUGACGCCCUCUUCUGGUGUGUCUAAAGACAGCUACAGUGUACUUACAUAUAAUAGUAAAUACAUUUUUGGGCCGGAGCGAGCAGAGGUCUUGAGUUCAAUUCCCAUCGACCUCAUGAUGGCUCACAACCAUCUGUGCACUCAUAUACAUAAAAUAAAUAAUAAAUCUUUUUUUAAAAAAAGAA